AAGCUCUUCUAAUGACCCAUUAACUCUAGCUGCUAUCCAAAAUAAACGCACCUGAGUUUCUGCUGCCUGGCCAGCCCAUUUUCCUGAGAUCAGUCCUCCCCCUUCCAAUGCCUUUGAUAGUUAUUACAGAAGUGUGCUGCUGUUGGAAGAAUGCUCCAGCUCUUAAUGGAAGCAGGAUUUGCCUUCCAGGCAUGUGCUAAAGAAUGUGAAGGAUCAUGGAUGUUAAAACUUUACUGUAAGAUCAAGACCAUCAAAGUUCCCAUUUCAAGUUGGACUGCAGAGCAUAGCUAUGUAUAAGGUGAUUGCUAGCAACUAGUAUAUGAAACUGGAAGAAUUGAUAUUGUUUAAUAAGCUCCAUAUCCUGUGACUGGAAGCAAUGAUGGAAGAGAUACUUACUUCUCGACAAACAAUACACAUGAUCCUGUGUCUCACAGGCUACAAAACUUCCCAGCACUUCAGAGCACCUUAAAGGCCUGAAGUCAAACACCAAAAGCCAGAAUCAUAGCUAUGUAUCACAAAAAAAAUUGUACAUCUUGCUUUUUUUAUAGGAGUCCACAAUAGCAAAUAACUUGUUAGUAUGACCUCUACCAGUGAUCAGAAGGGAAAGCACAACACACCAGAGAGCAAA